GGAAUGGUAGAGCCUUUGAAAACGGGGGACCCAACCCAAGGUCCGCCAUGUUCCUUCGAUUCCCCCGCGACCCAAUCUCCACCUCAUUUCCCCACGCUUUUAUUUUUAUGGUGGAGAGCAAGAGUCCAAAAAUUGCAUGACAUUCCAAGUUCAAGACAUUGUAGGAGACCAAAGUUGAGGAACAUAUACCUUGCAAUAUCUAUGAUUUGCUGCCUUACAAGAGGCAGAACAACGUUCAUGACUCUCCACUACAUUGUAAUUUUCAUCAAGCUUCAACUUAUCGUUUGCCCGGACGGUUGUCAUGCUUGGCUCAGCAACAUUGGUAAUUCCUGCAACAAUUUUGAAAGGCAGGAGGUGAUGUUAUCAAUAAUUUUGUCCAAAAAAAAACAUAUAGAGUGCGUGUAAUAUCAUAACAAUUGAUUUGGAAGCAAGAGGGUUACCAAACAAAUAGGGAAAACCCCUAGACAAGUCCAAAAUGUUAUAUAGCUUUCAUAUUAAAAUAUUACACAGAAAUGAUCGUCUGCUGGGUAGAUGAUUGCUGUCAUGCGAAUCUGAAAAUUUCCAGCUAAUGCUUUGUUUAAUGUACUAGGUCACUGAUAUGCUGAUAAUAAAAUUCUGUGACUGCCCAAACUAAAGUAGCUUGCUUUAGUUUCUAGUGGAAUGCUGAAUUCUGAGAAAUGGGCAGCAUAGAAUUUCUUCAGCAAUCUCUUGCAGACACAUAUUUGCCUCAAUAUCAUACAAGAUUACAAUUGUAAUUUCAA